UGAUGACGAGACGCUAAGGCGUUGAAGCAGUGUAUGUCAGACUUCCAAGAAAAGCUCGCAAUGUCACAAAUAAAAAUGCCUGUACCAUAACCGACACAGGUGGGUAGGUAGAGUAUACUAAGGGGCGCGAGAUAACUCUCUCUAAGGAACUCGGCAAAAUGACUCCGUAACUUCGGGAGAAGGAGUGCCUUAUUUAUAAGGUUGCAAUAACAAGAUCCAAGCAACUGUUUAUCAAAAACACAGGUCUCCGCUAAGUCGUAAGACGAUGUAUGGGGGCUGACGCCUGCCCAGUGCCAGAAGGUUAAAGAAGUUGGUUAGUGUAUGCGAAGCUGAUGACUGAAGCCCUGGUGAACGGCGGCCGUAACUAUAACGGUCCUAAGGUAGCGAAAUUCCUUGUCGGGUAAGUUCCGACCCGCACGAAAGGCGUAAUGAUUUGGAUACUGUCUCGGAGAGAGGCUCGGUGAAAUAGACUUGUCUGUGAAGAUGCGGACUACCUGCACCAGGACAGAAAGACCCUAUGAAGCUUUACUGUAACUUGAAAUUGGAAUUGGACUUUGCUUGCGCAGUAUAGGUGGGAAGCGUUGAAAAUAUUCUUGCGGGAGUAUUGGAGCUAUCAGUGAGAUACCACUCUUGUAAUGUUAGAUUUCUAACUUUGAACCAUAUCUGGUCAAAGGACAGUUUCAGGUGGGCAGUUUGACUGGGGCGGUCGCCUCCCAAAUGGUAACGGAGGCGUACAAAGGUUUCCUCUGAACGGAUAGAAAUCGUAUCUAGAGUGUAAAGGCAUAAGGAAGCUUGACUGUGAGACCUACAAGUCGAGCAGGGACGAAAGUCGGUCUUAGUGAUCUGACGGUACUGAGUGGAAAGGCCGUCACUCAACGGAUAAAAGUUACUCUAAGGAUAACAGGCUGAUCUCCCCCAAGAGUUCACAUCGACGGGGAGGUUUGGCACCUCGAUGUCGGCUCAUCGCAUCCUGGGGCGGUAGUACGUCCCAAGGGUUGGGCUGUUCGCCCAUGAAAGCGGUACGCGAGCUGGGUUCAGAACGUCGUGAGACAGUUCGGUCCAUAUCCGGUGUAGGCGCUAGAAUAUUGAGAGGAGCCUUCUUUAGUACGAGAGGACCGAGAAGGACACACCGCUGGUGUACCAGUUAUCGUGCCAACGGUAAACGCUGGGUAGCUAUGUGUGGAGUGGAUAACCGCUGAAAGCAUCUAAGUGGGAAGCCCACCUCGAGAUGAG
rnacentral:rRNA from 1 species